rnacentral:siRNA from 1 species
ACAACUCUGACAAAGAAGAUUUG